rnacentral:rRNA from 1 species
UACGGGGGGAGCAAGCGUUGUUCGGAUUUACUGGGCGUAAAGAGCGCGCAGGCGGUCGUUCAAGUCGCGUGUGAAAGCCCCCGGCUCAACUGGGGAGGGUCACGCGAUACUGAUCGACUGGAAGGCAGGAGAGGGUAGUGGAAUUCCCGGUGUAGUGGUGAAAUGCGUAGAUAUCGGGAGGAACACCAGUGGCGAAGGCGACUACCUGGCCUGUUCUUGACGCUGAGGCGCGAAAGCUAGGGGAGCAAACGGGG